rnacentral:tRNA from 1 species
UCCGGUUGCGUGGUAGAGCAUUCGGCUGUUAACCGAAGGGUCGUUGGUUCGAGCCCAACAGGGGGAGCCA